rnacentral:misc_RNA from 1 species
AACGCAUAUUGCACCCUCUGGUAUUCCGGGGGGUACACCUGUUCGAGCGUCAUUUAAACCUUCAAGUUUGACUUGGUGUUAGGGGAUGUCCUGGGACGCCCUCUAAACUUAACGGCGAAACCCUUUGAAAUAUCGCGCAGCAAGCUUAAACGCACGCGUGAUUUUAAGGAGGGUCGCUAAAAAUUUUUAUUUUUGACCUCGGAUCAGGUGGGGAUACCCGCUGAACUUAA